GUCGCCUUGUCCGCAGGCAGAGUUGGGAUCACACCAGCUCUUUGCUCUCCCAUCUCUCGGGUCGCCCCCUCCUGGGCCUGAAGCCCCAGGGAGAGACACCCUGCUUUGCAACCUGCGCCCCCCGGUGUACGGGGCUGUGUUUUGCUGUUGCUAUAGGGCACUUAGAGACCCCAGCCGUGGCCAAGUACGUGUCUCCAUGGUUCUCACGCCGUUCGCGGUUCCCACAACCUCCCUCACACCUGGCUGAGCUCCGGAACAACAGAAAAACAGUGCUGGGGCUGAAAACAGCCUCCUCACACCUCUGUGGUGUGUAGCUUUAGAGACGCACCUCUAAAGCCUGCAUCUUAGAGACGCUGAGACUCACAGAGGUCACGGCAUUUUCUCAGGUGUCCCCAGCUGGUGAGUAGAAAGGUAAGGGCCAGAACCCGGGUCCGCAGGCUCUCCCCCUGGUGUGUUUUUCUACGAUAGCAUUGCAUGUGCACCCGUGUACCUGGGGUUCACCUUGGAAAUGCGUCGGGCCCAGGGGGUAAAUGCACCCGGGAUUCGUGCCCACACUGGGCCUCUGAAGACUGGGUCGGAGAUUAGGAGGGUCUGUAAGAGCUCUCUUUACAGGCCAAAGCACGUGGGCUCAAUUUUCAGGGCGAGGAUGGUUAGGGGGAAUGCAGGACUUAAGUGUCACAAGGGACCCCGCUGCACCUCCUUGCAGGGCUCCGGGCACGUGGAGUCCAAGCCAGAGAGACCAGAGCAGCGUGCUGACUCCCCGCCCAAGCCUCCAUCCCAGGCCUGCCCUUCGGCUCACUGCCGUGUUUCCAAGACGUGGAAUGGGCUUACAAGGAAUGAGUCGUGGGACAUGCUACUCCUGCCUUGUCUCCCAGACCAUGGAAGUCCAGGGAUCCACAGACUCCUCCUCUAAGUCCUACAUCUCAAAAACCAUCAGCCAGACUGUGAAUUGAAGGGUGAGCUUGAUACCAUUGCUGCCAGCAGCAUCACUGACUCACCCGACCCUGCAGGGUCCUGCGGGAAGCCCAGGGAUGGGAGCCAGGUGGGUGGCCUGUGAGGACGACAAAGCCGGCCUUUCCCACAUUCAGUAGAAGAAUGAGUGUGUGAAGCCAGACCCUCCCCUUGCAGGCUCGCAGCACAUAGUCCUUAGCAAGACGUUUCAUUCCUGUAACAGUUGUGGCUCAACUGGUAACGAUCGACCAUCCAAAACAUACUUCACCUGUUUGGGACCGGAGAGCUAAGACUCGCCCGAGGGUGAGAAAAACAUUAAGCAAGAAGAAAAGUCUUUCUUAAAGUCAUUUAACUUCCAUGAAAUUAAAAUCAUUUACUUAAUAGAACCUCUGGAUUGAAAUCCAGAAAUACAACCUCUGGAUUGGAAGGGUAUUUACAGCAACAUCGUUGUAACUGGCCCAGAAUGGAAGGAAAGUGAGCGCCUGUCUACAGGGAACUUUUCUGUAGUCCAGAAAGGUCUCUUUUAUUUCCUUUAAUGCACAGAAAGACGCAAGCUCCUGGCAAGUCCUGAAGAUUCCUGCCCAGGAACCAGCAAGCAUGUGCCUUUGUCCUUGCUGAUGCUGUAGAGGUUUGCUCUACUUCCCAUCCAAGAUAUUUUCUUAUCGGUGGACUAGGUGAUACCUUCUUUUCUUUUCCUUCUUUCACAUCUGAUCUAUCCUUGCCAGCAGAAGGAGCGCAUCCAAGUCUGUGCUUCUAAACCAGAAUGGCUUGGUUGGCAUCUCCAUCUCCCUCUGGACCGUACGUGACAUGAAGGCCCACACCGGUCAUGUCCCUACUGUCCCACAGCGAGGGAUGCACACGAGGGGAGGGCUUAAAGCUGAGUGCCUGUGGGGAAGACAGCUGUGGGGACCGAUGCCCAUUCCAGAGAACGAGUUCAAUUCUGUCCCCGGCAUUUGCAGACAGCAGGGAGACUCCUCCAAGCAGCAUCACCGUGGGCUGUCAUAGCUGAGUCUAGAGCCAGGGUGAGGCGCUAGGAGCAGGAGCGAAGAUCUGCAGCAGAGGUGACAGUUGAGGACCCGAGGGAGGGACCACUCUCAGAGGAGUAAGGGAAAGGAAGAAACCAGGGUUGGCUCUUGGAGGACCACCCCAGGUCUUUCUGCCACGAAGGACGGGGCGGGGGAGGGGACCCACAGGCACCAACUGUCCGUGCAGACAGGGCCUGAAUUAGACCCCAAAAUGAUGGUCCUAAUAGUGAACACUUAUUGAAAACUGAUUAUGGGCUACAUCUUGCUUCAAGUAUUUGAUGUCUAUCAUUUCAGCAAAUCCCGGUGACGACCGUCUGUGGUAUGGCCCCACUCUCCAGGUAAAGAAACGAAGCACAGAGAGUUUAAAUUAUAUGCCCGAGAUCAUAAAGCUGCUAAGUGUUCAGCCUCAAGAGCACUCCACACCCUCUUCCUUGACAUCUUCCCACUAAUUUUAGUUACUGAUUUCUUUUCUAUAAUCUGUUGAUCACCCCAUUUCACUGGAUCCACACAGAAAAAAAAUCACAGUAUAUCCCAUUUGACAUUCCAGCCCUGACUUUCUUCAGGCCAGUCCAAAAGCUGUUAAUGCAAUUACCGCUUGAAUCUAGAGGAGAAAGAAAUACUCCCAUCUAUUCACGUUGCAGUUGUUACUAUCUGGUCACCAGAGAGUGACCUUUCAGGUGACACAAGAGCUACACCCAAUUAAGAGAGAUGAUUCCUUGAAAGCCCAAGGCCACGAAUAAUUGAAACCCUCCAGCCAGAGCAGAGGCAGGUCAGAGCAGGGUUUCCUUAGUAGAUAAAUUAGGCCAUGGUAACUUCACGAAAAACCUAUUCCCUGUGGUUUCUGUUGCCACUGCUUCCUUUAGGAUCACGAUUGCAAGAAGAACACGGGAUUUUUCUCAGUCAGGGGCUGUGGGACAAUAACGUAUAUAUCAUAAUAUGUAACAUAAUAAAAAUAUAUCAUGUAUUUAUAUACA
rnacentral:lncRNA from 1 species